rnacentral:tRNA from 1 species
GGAAGGGUCGCAUAGUGGCCUAGUGCGCUGCCUUGGAAAGGCAGUAUACCCGCAAGGGUAUCGAGGGUUCAAAUCCCUCUCCUUCCGCCA